ACCUGCCGGUCAUGCUGACCACCGUCGCCCGAGCAUGGCUGACAGGGCUACCAAGGUACACCAUCAACAGCUGGGCCGAGCUGAAGGGACAGUU
rfam:Oryza rufipogon genomic scaffold, chr03